rnacentral:rRNA from 1 species
AGUGGGAGCCCCACCACUAAGCCAGUGGUGAACUCCACAUACGCAUCCUUUGCUGAGGAUACGGUUAACGGAGCGAAAGCGACGUUCAACCUCAAAAGAAGCAGAGGGGGCUUAGUGGUGGGGUGACUGCGUACCUUUUGUAUAAUGGGUCAGCGACUUAUAUUCUGUAGCAAGGUUAACCGAAUAGGGGAGCCGGAGGGAAACCGAGUCUUAACCGGGCGUUAAGUUGCAGGGUAUAGACCCGAAACCCGGUGAUCUAGCCAUGGGCAGGUUGAAGGUUGGGUAACACUAACUGGAGGACCGAACCGACUAAUGUUGAAAAAUUAGCGGAUGACCUGUGGCUGGGGGUGAAAGGCCAAUCAAACCGGGAGAUAGCUGGUUCUCCCCGAAAGCUAUUUAGGUAGCGCCUCGUGAAUUCAUCUCCGGGGGUAGAGCACUGUUUCGGCUAGGGGGUCAUCCCGACUUACCAACCCGAUGCAAACUGCGAAUACCGGAGAAUGUUAUCACGGGAGACACACGGCGGGUGCUAACGUCCGUCGUGAAGAGGGAAACAACCCAGACCGCCAGCUAAGGUCCCAAAGUCAUGGUUAAGUGGGAAACGAUGUGGGAAGGCCCAGACAGCCAGGAUGUUGGCUUAGAAGCAGCCAUCAUUUAAAGAAAGCGUAAUAGCUCACUGGUCGAGUCGGCCUGCGCGGAAGAUGUAACGGGGCUAAACCAUGCACCGAAGCUGCGGCAGCGACACUAUGUGUUGUUGGGUAGGGGAGCGUUCUGUAAGCCUGCGAAGGUGUCUCGUGAGGGAUGCUGGAGGUAUCAGAAGUGCGAAUGCUGACAUAAGUAACGAUAAUGCGGGUGAAAAACCCGCACGCCGGAAGACCAAGGGUUCCUGUCCAACGUUAAUCGGGGCAGGGUGAGUCGACCCCUAAGGCGAGGCCGAAAGGCGUAGUCGAUGGGAAACAGGUUAAUAUUCCUGUACUUGGUGUUACUGCGAAGGGGGGACGGAGAAGGCUAUGUUGGCCGGGCGACGGUUGUCCCGGUUUAAGCGUGUAGGUGUGUGUUCCAGGUAAAUCCGGUUCACUUUAACACUGAGGCGUGAUGACGAGGCACUACGGUGCUGAAGCAACAAAUGCCCUGCUUCCAGGAAAAGCCUCUAAGCAUCAGGUAACAUCAAAUCGUACCCCAAACCGACACAGGUGGUCAGGUAGAGAAUACCAAGGCGCUUGAGAGAACUCGGGUGAAGGAACUAGGCAAAAUGGUGCCGUAACUUCGGGAGAAGGCACGCUGAUAUGUAGGUGAAGUGGUUUACCCAUGGAGCUGAAAUCAGUCGAAGAUACCAGCUGGCUGCAACUGUUUAUUAAAAACACAGCACUGUGCAAACACGAAAGUGGACGUAUACGGUGUGACGCCUGCCCGGUGCCGGAAGGUUAAUUGAUGGGGUUAUCCGUAAGGAGAAGCUCUUGAUCGAAGCCCCGGUAAACGGCGGCCGUAACUAUAACGGUCCUAAGGUAGCGAAAUUCCUUGUCGGGUAAGUUCCGACCUGCACGAAUGGCGUAAUGAUGGCCAGGCUGUCUCCACCCGAGACUCAGUGAAAUUGAACUCGCUGUGAAGAUGCAGUGUACCCGCGGCAAGACGGAAAGACCCCGUGAACCUUUACUAUAGCUUGACACUGAACACUGGUCCUUGAUGUGCAGGAUAGGUGGGAGGCUUUGAAGCGCGGACGCCAGUUCGUGUGGAGCCAUCCUUGAAAUACCACCCUUUAAUGGCUGGUGUUCUAACGUAGACCCGUGAUCCGGGUUGCGGACAGUGUCUGGUGGGUAGUUUGACUGGGGCGGUCUCCUCCUAAAGAGUAACGGAGGAGCACGAAGGUUAGCUAAUCCUGGUCGGACAUCAGGAGGUUAGUGCAAAGGCAUAAGCUAGCUUGACUGCGAGCGUGACGGCGCGAGCAGGUGCGAAAGCAGGUC